rnacentral:rRNA from 1 species
AGAAUCAACGCUGGCGGCGUGCCUAACACAUGCAAGUCGAACGAGAAAGUGGAGCAAUCCAUGAGUAAAGUGGCGACCAGGUGAGUAACACGUGACUAACCUACCUUCGAGUGGGGGAUAACCUCGGGAAACCGAGGCUAAUACCGCAUAACAUCGCAAGAUCAAAGCAGCAAUGCGCUGGAAGAGGGGGUCGCGGCUGAUUAGCUAGUUGGCGGGGUAACGCCCACCAAGGCGAAGAUCGGUA